rnacentral:lncRNA from 10 species
AAGGCAACUGGCGGAGUGGCGGCUCCACCAGAGCCUGGGAGCUGCCCCCGCCCCCGAGCCGCGAGCCCCGCGCCGGGCCGGGGAGUCCCCGGCGCCACACGCCCCCACCACCCCCAUCUUAGCGCCCCCCACCCUCUAUGGAGACAUUUCAACCAGGGAGAAGGGAAGUCCUGCCCUUGCCCCUCGCCCCCGCCCUGCUCCUCCAACAGGGGAGACUUCUGUCCAAACCUUGGAAAGAAACGAGAUGCCAGGCCUAGCGCCUUCGGGGAUCCUCUCUGGACAAGGCCACAGGGUGAAAACACCAGCACAGUCUGGACCUGGGCGGACUUUUUGGAAAAGCUUCUGGAUGCCACGGACUCCACGACCAACCAACUAGGUUGCUGCUGCUUGCAAACAUCGCCUCCAUUGAAGGAUUCCUGCAGCCACCAGCUCUGGAACUUUCUGGAACCAAACAUUUCCCCAGACUGCCUACAAGGACCAAUUGGCCUCUGGAUCACUUCCUGGAGGCGUUUGACCGGGACCUGGGAGGGCAGCUGAGAAGUGCCUGACCAUUCUCAAGGAGCUGCGUGGAUUCCAGACAUCUCUGGGCUGGUCUCUGGACCGGGAUGGGGGACCCAGAGGUGGAGCCGAACACACAAGCAGCACUUGAGGGCUCCGAGGGUGGCAAGGAGAGAAGUUCCUGCUCUGGUACAGCCCUGGGACCUUGAAAGACUGAAGCUAAGAAGUGCUGGAGACAGCAGUUGCUUUAGCCACAGGCUGUGUAGACCACCUGAGGAUGACCUGGGGGUCUGUUUUGUGCACCUUGGAACCCAUCGGAUCCCUCCAAUGACACAUUUGUCCAGAGCAAGACAAGAUCACACUUUGACAGCCCUCUGUCAAGAUCCUUGCUCCAAAUCUCCAGACUAGCAGCCAGGAGUCUCCAUGCUGUUCUGAAGAAGCAGAUUCCUCACCCACCCUUCAACUCCUUCCCAGGAGGUAAUCCUCCUCCAAAUCUCUGGAAAAGAUACACCUCCUCUUCUCUGAUAAAGGCUGGGGGGUGAUGCCCCUCCCCCAGUUUCCCAAUAAAGCUAUGCAAGACAGGAGCAAGGGAUCUCACGGCCUGUUUUUGCUACAAAAACCCUUUUUCGGAAAAAAUAAUAAAGAAAGGAAUCAGCCAAUCCCUCCUCGAUGCCAUCACCUCUUCUCGGUGAUUUUUCGGGGAAGGAGUGGGUGGGUUGCUAUGGCAACAGAUGCGAGCUCGUCUCAGUAAAGAAGGGACCUUGAUAUUUUUUUCUCUCUCUCAUUCUCUCAGUUGUGUGUGUGUGCGUGCAUGUGUAUGUGCGCCUGUGUGUGUGUGCAUGCGCGCUACACAUGCCUGUGCCCACACCAGGAAUUUUUUUUUUUUAGAACUAAAGAAAGCCCUUCUCUUCUCUCAGCUCUCCAAAUAUGGAGUGAUGGAAAACCACUUACUCCUGCAGGCCAGGGAGAAUUCAGGAUGAUUCAAGAGAAAAGGGAGAGGUCAUGUGGGGCUCCUUUCCUCCAUGUUUUUACUAGAGAUUGCAUGCAACAAGAGAGCUUUGCAAAUGGUUAGGGGGCCUUUGGAAAGAGGAGAAGAUGUUAGGUGGAAAGAGGUGAGCAAGAUAUAGAUGGUGCAGGAACUCAACGGGUGACCUCAGAGAGGGCAACAGAAGCUAUAUUGAGUCUGGGGACGCAUGUACAUCCCACCACACCAUCAGAUGCUGAAAGACCCAGAGCAGACUCAGAUAUGGACACAAACACAGACACUGACAGAAAGGCAUAUGGAAAAUUGUAGACAUAAAUACACACAGGCACAAACAUAGAACUGCACAGAACAUAGGAAGUUGGAGACAAAAAAAAAAGACAAGCAUAGAUGCAGGCAUAGGUAAACAUAGAUAUACAGGGGUACAGACUCGCAGCUACAAAGACACAUGCAAACAGAUAGAGAUGUAGACAUCCAACCACCUCCAGACAGGUUUGGAGGCAGACACACAGGACACACAAACACAGUCUCAGUCAAAUGAACACACACACACACAAACACACAGACACACACACAGAGUCUGGCUCUUUUCCUUCAAUUGCCCAAGCAUCCUUGAGCAGUAGUGCAUAGCUGAGGAUGCUGCACGCUUGCCCAGUAGGUUUGGCUGAGAGGCUUGCUCUCCCAUUCCUUCUACACGCUCACCCCAAAGCCCCUCUCCCAAUUCACUCCCUUGCCCACUUUCCCACAGCCAGCAGGCUCUGAUGCCUCCCCCAUCUCAGGCUUCUAAUUCUUAGCUUGUUCUGCUGCUGCCUGCCACUUGGGGGAGAGAGUGGGGUGACUCAGCCAGGCCAGGAUGACUCACACUGCCAGUAUUUUUAGCAGCGGCCAGGAGCUCUCUAGUGUGCCAGCCGCCCCCCUCCUCCUGCUUGCUAUUUCGGAACCGUCACUGGUGAUAUAAAUAGCUCCUCUCCCACGGCCUGAAGCUGCUGCCAAGCUAUUUUUGGUUCUGCACAGUUAAAAAUAGCUUCACGGAGGUGGGAGGCAAGGGGAGUGGGAGCUGGCCUAGGGAGAGGAGACAUUGGGGCACACAGAGCUUCUCAACUUGAAUCAGAGUGGGCGAACUAGGAUGAGCCCUUCUCUACCCCCUCCCUUGUCCCUUUCUAGACCCUUCUUCCCUUCCAAAGUGUUUCUUCCCAUUCCAUUCUCCUGGAAAAAGCCAGGGGCUCUUCCCCUGAGCCCAGUUCUCCUCCCUUGCUUACUUCACCCUUAGAGCCCAGAAAUCUUGGCCCCCUGCAAACCCUCCAUAUUCAUUCACAGAGAAUAAGGGGACAGUCAAAGAGUAGGCUCACUCUGAGGCCUGUGGGUACCCAAGCCCUACGUCGAUGUCCCCGGCAAACCGUAGCAUGACUUCCAUGGUGACUCUUUCAGCACCACGGACAGCGGUCGGCGCAGUAUUCCUUCACUGCAGAUUCGCUCAGAUUGCUGGAGGCCAUGACACCCAGCCAGUAGACUCCUCUUAUUGUGGAGGGGGACACUCAGAAUGCCUCACAGGCAGCUUUAGCAUCAGUGAAUGAAGAACACAGGAACAACCCCCCUGGAAUUUCAUACGGAAGGGGAUCCAAAGAUCAAGGGAUUGUUCAAAUGGAAGAUUGAGAGAGGGGUGGGUAGGUACAUUAGAGGUCAGAUUGAGAAGAAAGAAGCAACACAGACCCAUGUCCAGGAGGAAUCAUCUCUCUGUCAUCCAGGUCAAUGGGGUUAGAGACAGUGGCAGACAGAUAAGCGGACAUCGUUCCCUCCACCUCAGCUGUGACACUGACCACAGGAUGGCCCCAACCUCUGCCAAAAUGCAUAAGACACCAGAAUAGGGUCUCCACACCUUGUACACCUCUUCUAAGACAUACUUCUCCUCAGCCGCCUCUCCUCCCACUCUACCUCUCUUACUACCACCCCUUUCCAUGAGGAGCGGAGAGUUCCCUGGCCCCAAAUUGUCCUUUUUGAUGUCAAAGUUCAUCUCCAUGCUUCCUGUGUGACUGGGACUUCCCAGUCCCACCCUCCAAUUUUUAAGUGGCCUCAUUUCCAGCCACUUAAGUGAUUCCAUGCGCACACAGCUACUCCAUCAAACGAGAUUUCAGAUAAGAACAUUCCCUAGCCCACUUGCUUCUUGCAUUAUUGAAUCCCAGGAUAAGAACGGCACAUCCUCGCCCCUGUAGAGAGCAAUCAUCUGUGGUGAAAAGAGAAAAAAAG